rnacentral:rRNA from 1 species
CCUACGGGUGGCAGCAGUGGGGGAUAUUGCACAAUGGGGGAAACCCUGAUGCAGCGACGCCGCGUGUGGGAAGACGGUCCUCUGGAUUGUAAACUACUGUCCCCAGGGACGAAGAUGACGUUACCUGGGGAGGAAGCUCCGGCUAACUACGUGCGAGCAGCCGCGGUAAUACGUAGGGAGCGAGCGUUGUCCGGAAUUACUGGGUGUAAGGGGAGCGUAGGCGGGACUGCAAGUUGGGUGUAAAAUCUACCGGCUCAACCGGUAGCCGCACUCAAAACUGCAGUUCUUGAGUGAAGUAGCGGCAGGCGGAAGUCCUAGUGUAGCGGUGAAAUGCGUAGAUAUUAGGCGGAACACCAGUGGCGAAGGCGGCCUGCUAGGCUUUUACUGACGCUGAGGCUCGAAAGUGUGGGGAGCAAACAGGAUUAGAUACCCCGGUAGUC